GGGUUGUGAGGUUAAGCGACUAAGCGUACACGGUGGAUGCCCUGGCAGUCAGAGGCGAUGAAGGACGUGCUAAUCUGCGAUAAGCGUCGGUAAGGUGAUAUGAACCGUUAUAACCGGCGAUUUCCGAAUGGGGAAACCCAGUGUGUUUCGACACACUAUCAUUAACUGAAUCCAUAGGUUAAUGAGGCGAACCGGGGGAACUGAAACAUCUAAGUACCCCGAGGAAAAGAAAUCAACCGAGAUUCCCCCAGUAGCGGCGAGCGAACGGGGAGCAGCCCAGAGCCUGAAUCAGUGUGUGUGUUAGUGGAAGCGUCUGGAAAGGCGCGCGAUACAGGGUGACAGUCCCGUACACAAAAAUGCACAUGCUGUGAGCUCGAUGAGUAGGGCGGGACACGUGGUAUCCUGUCUGAAUAUGGGGGGACCAUCCUCCAAGGCUAAAUACUCCUGACUGACCGAUAGUGAACCAGUACCGUGAGGGAAAGGCGAAAAGAACCCCGGCGAGGGGAGUGAAAAAGAACCUGAAACCGUGUACGUACAAGCAGUGGGAGCACGCUUAGGCGUGUGACUGCGUACCUUUUGUAUAAUGGGUCAGCGACUUAUAUUCUGUAGCAAGGUUAACCGAAUAGGGGAGCCGAAGGGAAACCGAGUCUUAACUGGGCGUUAAGUUGCAGGGUAUAGACCCGAAACCCGGUGAUCUAGCCAUGGGCAGGUUGAAGGUUGGGUAACACUAACUGGAGGACCGAACCGACUAAUGUUGAAAAAUUAGCGG
rnacentral:rRNA from 1 species